GGUGAGAUGGCCGAGUUGGUUAUGGCGCCAGGUUAAGGUUAUCUUAACACAUUAUUCCUGGUCACGAAAGUGGCGCGGGUUCGAGUCCCGUUCUCAUCA